rnacentral:lncRNA from 1 species
AGCUCUAGAGGUUCCGACACAUCUGCAUUGGUUACGGUAUUCCGAUUCGACCCGUUUUAUUUAUUGCUAAUAAACUAGAAAUUGUAGUUAUGUUAUCUAUUUGCUUGAUUGUCUGUUUUUGAAUAAUCCUGGUUGUGGAUAAUCAUUUAGUUGCGAAUAUUUGGAAUGGUGAUGUUUUUAGGAUUUUCAAUGAUAUCGUGGUUUCGGUUUUAAAAUAUGUGAUUUUUUACCCCUCGUGCUAGCUCGUUUUUAAA